rnacentral:rRNA from 1 species
AGUGAACGCUGGCGGUAGGCCUAACACAUGCAAGUCGAACGGCAGCACAGUAAGAGCUUGCUCUUACGGGUGGCGAGUGGCGGACGGGUGAGGAAUACAUCGGAAUCUACUUUUUCGUGGGGGAUAACGUAGGGAAACUUACGCUAAUACCGCAUACGACCUACGGGUGAAAGCAGGGGAUCUUCGGACCUUGCGCGAUUGAAUGAGCCGAUGUCGGAUUAGCUAGUUGGCGGGGUAAAGGCCCACCAAGGCGACGAUCCGUAGCUGGUCUGAGAGGAGGGUCAGCCACACUGGAACUGGGACACGGUCCAGACUCCUACGGGAGGCAGCAGUGGGGAAUAUUGGACAAUGGUCGCAAGCCUGAUCCAGCCAUACCGCGUGGGUGAAGAAGGCCUUCGGGUUGUAAAGCCCUUUUGUUGGGAAAGAAAAGCAGCAGGUUAAUACCCCGCUGUUCUGACGGUACCCAAAGAAUAAGCACCGGCUAACUUCGUG